AUCUCAACAGCCUUGAAGCGGUUAACUUUGUAGUUUUACUGCUUUAUUAGGCUGUGCUUUUGCUGGAGGUUUAGGGGUGCUCUUGAUCGAGUGUCUCUGGAUGCCAGCAGGUUUACUUUGAAAAAAUUAGAGUGCUCAAGCAGCUAAAAUGCCUGAAUAUUCGUGCAUGGAAUAAUAGAAUAGGAUGUCGAUCCUAUUUUGUUGGUUUUCCGGGGACUCGACAUAAUGAUAAAUAGGGACAGUCGGGGGCAUUUGUAUUCAAACGACAGAGGUGUAAUUCUUGGACCGUUUGAAGACAAACUACUGCGAAAGCAUUUGC
rnacentral:rRNA from 1 species